rnacentral:ncRNA from 1 species
CCUUUGGAGUGUGAUACCAGACGUUAGUAGAAUGUUGAAUUUUCAACGAAUUUUCAACUUCGAGAACGCACACGAGGAAGAAGGAA